UCUGCUAGACAUUCAAGUUGAUAAGGGAAUAGUUGAAGUAAGGGACCCAUUGAGUAGAGGCGUGGAAGGGUUCCCUGACUUGCAGCGCUUGCUCCAGAAGUAAUUUCAAUCAUUAAUGACGCGCUAUAUCUUUCGUGAGAUAUCAAUUAAUUAUCCACUCAUUUAAUCAUUCUUUUGCCUGGCAGGGUUUGGAGAGUUUUCAAGAAAAAUUUUAAGGGUGGUAACUUCGCAGAGAAGCUAACAUUUACUCAUGUACCGUGCGCCCAGCAGCCACAGGGGACGAAUCUAUGUGGAUACUACGUUUGCGAGUCCAUUCGCAUGUUAACCACUGAGAAGCACAACGAUAAUAGAUUCAACGUCGACUUCAUGCGGGAGAAGCUCCAACCACACGAACACCUACAAGGAAUUACGGAGGAAGUGGCGGGACUUCUGAUGAGAGAAGUAAUAGACGACAACGGCUUGUUUAGUCCAAAUAGGCGCAUCAAAUGAUCCCCAUGUAAUAGUUAGAAUAGACGACGGGCUUUAGUCCCGGUAGUCGUGAGCUCCAUGUAUAUGUAAGGGGAAUCUAUGAAUAGACUUUUGCUUCCAAUAUUUGUUUGCUCGAUCUAUAUAUAAUGAAUGAACGUGUACAACUUGUAGUAGCGUACAAAUAUAUGCAACUUUUA